AAUCAACGCUGGCGGCGUGCCUCAGACAUGCAAGUCGAACGAUUAAAGCUCUCUUCGGAGAGUGCAUAAAGUGGCGCACGGGUGAGUAACACGUAAGUAAUCUACCUUCGAGUGGGGAAUAACGUCCGGAAACGGACGCUAAUACCGCAUAACGCAGCGGCAUCGCAAGAUGACAGUUGUUAAAGAUUUAUCGCUUGAAGAGGAGCUUGCGGCAGAUAGCUUGUUGGUAAGGUAACGGCUUACCAAGGCUACGAUCUGUAUCCGGUCUAAGAGGACGGUCGGACACACUGACACUGAAUAACGGGUCAGACUCCUACGGGAGGCAGCAGUCGGGAAUUUUGAGCAAUGGGGGAAACCCGUNACCCAGCAACGCCGCGUGAAGGAUGAAGUAUUUCGGUA
rnacentral:rRNA from 1 species